GAAAAGAGAGAUCUCAUGGAAGAGCAAAGGGAGAAGAAGCCACCAAUGAAAUCAAGGAAAAAUCUUAGGAAAUUGUAUAAACAUGGAGAAGCAACCGGACACCAUUGUGGAUGAAACUUGGGAGUGUGCAACUCUAAAUCUAGCAUGACUAGUUGUAUUGCUUGGUUCCCAAAACAAGGUCCAUUUGGAGAAAGAGGAAUUCAUUCAAAAUUGGGAAUAUUUCUCAUGUAGAGGCAUAGGAGAGAAGCUCAUGUAGAGGCAGAGGAGAGAAGCUCAAGAAAAUCUGCAACAACAGAGGUUUCAGAGAAUCACAACAAAUAUGCUCAAUAGGAUGUAUAGGAACAAAGAAACAAAAACAUUGAGAGGGAAAGAAGAGAUGCUCGCUUAAGACUUGAUAUGGUUUUGUUUAGUAGAAUUAUCAAUAGUUUCUUAA